rnacentral:rRNA from 1 species
UACGUAGGGGGCGAGCGUUGUCCGGAUUUAUUGGGCGUAAAGAGCUCGUAGGCGGCUUGGCAAGUCGGGUGUGAAACCUCCAGCUCAACCUGGAGACGCCACUCGAUACUGCCAUGGCUAGAGUCCGGUAGGGACCACGGAAGUUCCUGGAUUGAGCGGUUGAAAUGCGCAGAUAUCAGGAGGAACACCGGUGGCGAAGGCGGUGGUCUGGGCCGGCACUGACGCUGGAUGCGCGAAAGCGUGGGGAGCAAACGGG